GUCUAUGGCCAUACCAUUCUGAAUGUGCCCUAUCUCUUCUGAUCUUGUGAAGCUAAGCAGGGUCAGGCCUGGUUAGUACUUGGAUGGGAGACUAUGGCGAGGCUGAGCCAGGAUUUGACC
rnacentral:rRNA from 2 species